AGAGUUGAUCCUGGCUUAGGACGAACGCUGGCGGCGUGCUUCAUACAUGCAAGUCGAACGAGAAAUUCACUUCGGUGGAUGGAAAGUGGCGGACGGGUGAGUAAUGUGUAGAGAAUCUGCCCUGGAGUGGGGGACAACAGAGGGAAACUUCUGCUAAUACCCCAUAUGAGCGUAGUUGCGAUACUAUUCUUGAAAGAUUUAUCGCUCCAGGAUGAGUCUGCAUCUGAUUAGCUAGUUGGAGGUGUAAUGGACCACCAAGGCGACGAUCAGUAGCUGGUUUGAGAGGAUGAUCAGCCACAAUGGGACUGAGACACGGCCCAUACUCCUACGGGAGGCAGCAGUAGGGAAUUUUGCGCAAUGGGCGAAAGCCUGACGCAGCCAACGCCGCGUGAUCGCAGACGCCCUUCGGGGUGUAAAGAUCUGUCAGUAGGGACGAACAAUGACUGUACCUACAGAGGAAGCACCGGCUAACUCCGUGCCAGCAGCGGC
rnacentral:rRNA from 1 species